AUCCAGUUGACGAGUCCCAAAUAGGACGAAACGCGCGUCAAAAUGGAU
rfam:Schistosoma mansoni, Puerto Rico, WGS project CABG01000000 data, contig: 0105